rfam:Megasphaera sp. BV3C16-1 contig00022, whole genome shotgun sequence.
AUUUUAUCCAGAGUGGCGGAGGGACUGGCCCUAUGAAGCCCGGCAACCGGUAAUACGGUGCCAAUUCCUGCGGAAGCAAUUCCGAGAGAUAAAGA